rnacentral:lncRNA from 1 species
AUGCCAGGGCCUGGCUGGGGACCUGGGGACCAUCCCCAUGGCCCCCGCUCAGGGCUCGGGGGGGGUCUUGGUGGGUCCGGCCAUCCUACAGGCGCUGUAGAGGGAGAGGCAGAGCCCGGCGGCCGCCAGCAGCAGGGCCAGGGGGGGCAGCGCCCGGUCCUUGGGCUCAGUGCCCUGUCCUGCCGCCAGCUGCAUCUGGGGGGGGGGAGAGGAAAGGGAAAAAAGGGGAAGAAGGGGAUAAAAAGGGGGCGACGCCACCCCCAGACCCCCCCCUCAGGGGACAGCCCCAGCCCCCAGCCUGCCCUGAGCGACCCCAAUGCACGCACAGCUGGGAUAUGGGGACAAAAGGGGGGGGCUUUUUCCAGCGGGGUGCCCCCACCACAGCACCCACGGCGAUUUUGGGGUGCCCCCAACCCCAGCCCUGCCCCAGUGCCCCCACCACCAGCAGGGAGCCGGGACACAGCUCCAGCAUCCAGCAGGCCUCGUGGGGAGGGUCGGGGGGUCCCUGCUCGUCGCGCCCCCCCCCAAUUUUUGCUCGCCCCUUACCUGGAGCAGGCGAAAAUACCCCGGGGUGAGGCGUCGGGGCCGGAUGAUCAUGGUGUGAGGGGGGGCAGUAGGAUCAGGCCCCGCGGCCCCUCCGAAACCGGCGGCGAGCGCGGCGCCGCUGUCAGCAGCGAUCAGCGCCCGCUGCUCCCCCAAGCGCACACAGCACAGCGGGGGGGGGCACGGAGGCGUUUCGGGGGGAACCGGGGCGGGUUUGGGACCGGGGAGAGCCGGGUGCUGAGGGGAGGCAGCCCCCGGCCUGCUAUAGGGGAAGGGGUGGCGGUGGGGUUGGGAUCGGGGGGCGAAAUCCUCGUGGUGGGGAGCGGGGUGGUGGUGGGGGGGGGUGCAUUGGUGUCAGGAGUUGUGCCAGGGCUCAGCCCUCGCUGUAUGGCCGGGGGGGGGCCUGGUUGUGUCCCCCUCGCCUCCUCCUCAUCUCCUCCUCAUCUCCUCAUCUCGUGGCCUUCAGAAAAUGGAGAUUGGGGCCCCCCCGAGCUGGGUUCGCCAUCGUUCCCCGCAGGGCGUUUCGACGGCCGCUCGGGGUUGUGA